GAAGAAACCGCCUUUUUAAAACCAGCUGACGAGAAUGUUACGUCAGUUGGUCGGCACCCGUUACCAUUGGACGCGUGUUAUUGUUGUUAGCGACAAGACUUUGAAAUCGUGCUUCCUUUUCCGCGAUUUGAAACCGGUCCACGGAUCAUGACGAACGUCGACGAAUGUUACACGACGGUGCUGCGGCUGGUGAAGGAGGCUGGCUCGAUCGUCAGGGAAAAGAUCAAUCAACCUAAAGAUGCGAUGAUAAAGUCGUGCGAGGUCGAUCUCGUCACCGAAUGGGAUCAAAAGGUUGAGAAACUAUUGGUGGAAAACAUAUCUUCGAAAUUUCCCGAUCAUAAAUUUAUCGGCGAGGAAGAAAGUUCGCUGGGCGCGAAGAUCGAACUCACGGACGCACCAACAUGGAUCAUCGAUCCCAUCGAUGGUACGAUGAACUUCGUACAUAGCUUGCCGCACACGUGUAUAUCGAUCGCAUUAGUUAUUAACAAGGUUACGGAAAUCGGAGUCGUUUACAAUCCGAUAUUGGAACAGUUUUUCACAGCUCGCAAGGGGCAAGGUGCAUUUCUUAAUGGAGCUCCCAUUCGGGUAUCUGGGGAAAAAGAAUUACGCAAAGCUCUGGUAAUGAUGGAAAUGGGCACCAGCAGAGAUCCUGAGAAAAUUAAAGUUGUGUUGGAAAAUGCGACCAAACUUCCUCCACAAGUUCAUGGAAUACGCGCUUUGGGAUCUGCUGCCUUAAACAUGUGCAUGGUUGCUCUAGGUGGAGCAGACGUUUCUUUUGAAUUCGGCAUUCAUGCUUGGGAUAUUGCUGCUGGUGAUAUUAUUGUCAGGGAAGCUGGUGGUGUAUGCAUAGAUCCUGCUGGUGGUCCGCUUGAUCUAAUGAGCAGAAGAGUUCUGUGCGCAUCAACAGAGGAGUUAGCGCAAUCGCUGGCCGAAAUUUUAGUUCAAUACUAUCCCGAACGUGACUAAAAAUUGCGCCGAUAAAAUCUUAAAGUAACGCAAGAAUGAAAAAUGUUGUGGCGACACUGUAUGCGCUGAACGAUGUACAUGUUUAAUGUAUGCAUUUAAGGUUUCUGAAUUAAAACAAUAAAUAUAAAUGUUUAAAGAGCGUACUUAUAUUUGAAUUUCUUACAUAAACGUUUAAGACAGGGAUAACAAUAUCUUUAAGAGAUAUAUGUAUGAAUAAAUCUAAAUUUAACACAAAUUAUCAUAUGUAUAUAUAUAUAUGAUAAUAAAGAUGCUCAACAAUGUUUUGCAUCGACGGCAGGGAUCGUGUGCGGUCUACAAAAAUGUAAUUUCUUUAUUGCUAGAUGUAAAGUACUGUAUCAAGGUACAGCGUGAAAUAAAUUUAUUUAUCCCAUUA